rnacentral:rRNA from 1 species
UACGUAGGGUGCAAGCGUUAAUCGGAAUUACUGGGCGUAAAGCGUGCGUAGACGGUCAUGUAAGUCGGGUGUGAAAGCCCCGGGCUCAACCUGGGAAUUGCAUUCGAGACUGCAUGGCUAGGGCGCGGAAGAGGGAAGCGGAAUUUCCGGUGUAGCGGUGAAAUGCGUAGAUAUCGGAAGGAACACCAGUGGCGAAAGCGGCUUCCUGGUCCAGCACCGACGUUCAGGCACGAAAGCGUGGGGAGCAAACAGG